UUGAUACCACAAACUUCACAAGUACGAU
rnacentral:sRNA from 1 species